UGGGGAAUAUUGCGCAAUGGGCGAAAGCCUGACGCAGCGACGCCGCGUGAGGGAUGAAGGCUUUCGGAUCGUAAACCUCUGUCAGAAGGGAAGAAACCGCACUGUGCUAAUCAGCAGUGCCUUGACGGUACCUUCAAAGGAAGCACCGGCUAACUCCGUGCCAGCAGCCGCGGUAAUACGGAGGGUGCAAGCGUUAAUCGGAAUUACUGGGCGUAAAGCGCACGUAGGCUGCUUUGUAAGUCAGGGGUGAAAUCCCACGGCUCAACCGUGGGACUGCCUUUGAUACUGCUUAGCUUGAAGCCGGGGGAGGGUGGCGGAAUUCCAGGGGUAGGAGUGAAAUCCGUAGAUAUCUGGGGGAACAUCAGUGGCGAAGGCGGCCACCUGGACCGGUAUUGACGCUGAGGUGCGAAAGCGUUGGGAGCAAACAGG
rnacentral:rRNA from 1 species